UUGUCCGAAACGGGUAGGAGAAAUAAACCAACGGAAUUGAUGCCACCACCGCCAUAACGGAAACCACUAUCUUUCACAAUUCUCACUUUCCGCCAAAUCUCUCUCUCUCUGUCUAGUGCUUAACCUUCCGAAGAAGCACGAACACAACAUUGUCUGUGAAUUCCGAUUCCGAAACCCUAGCUGAACGAACUCGACCCAAACGAAUGAGGAUCUGAUCAGUGGAUUCACAGCUGAGGAUUUUCUUUGGCUUUCUCAGUAAACGAAGUGGCUGUUCAGGUGUUUGGUGAGUGAGAAAUGCAGCGUGCUCCGGUGACAGUUGAGGAUCAGUUGUUGCAAAAAGCGAUUAAGGAAGAGUGUUCGUGGGAGAACCUUCCCAAGCGGAUUCAAACAACACUUUCUACCAAAGAAGAAUGGCACAGAAGGAUAAUUGAAAGUUGCAUAAAGAAGAGACUCCAAUGGAAUAGUUGUUUUGCUCGUAAAGUUUGUAAGGAAAGUGAAUAUUAUGAAGAGAUGAUGCGUUACUUGCGGAAGAAUCUUGCUCUAUUUCCUUAUCAUCUGGCAGAGUAUGUUUGCCGUGUGAUGAGAGUAUCGCCUUUUAGAUACUAUUGUGAUAUGAUCUUUGAAGUAAUGAGAAAUGAGCAACCUUAUGACAGCAUCCCAAACUUUAGUGCAGCAGAUGCUCUAAGACUUACAGGAAUUGGGAGAAAUGAAUUUAUUGAUAUAAUGAACAAGUGCAGAUCUAAGAAAAUCAUGUGGAAACUGAACAAGUCAAUUGCUAAAGAACUUUUACCCACACAACCUGUGGAUUUUCCUAUUGAACCUUGGUGGGGAGUUUGUCUGGUGAACUUUACUUUGGAAGAAUUUAAGAAACUUUCAGAAGAAGAAAUGGCCACAAUAGAUAGAGUAUGUAAGGAGGAGGCAAAUUCAUUUAUCCUGUUUGAUCCUGAUGUUGUGAAGGGUCUUUAUAGACGGGGAUUGAUCUAUUUUGAUGUUCCUGUAUUUCCUGAGGAUCGGUUUAAAGUUUCUAGGCUCGAAGGUUUUGUUUCCAACAGAGAGCAGUCUUAUGAAGACCCUAUUGAAGAGUUAUUGUAUGCAGUUUUUGUUGUUUCAAAUGAAAAUGCAUCUGUUGCUGAAUUGGCAGCAACUCUACAGGCUGAGUUGUCACAACUGCAGGCUGCUGCAUCUUUCGCAUGUCGAUUGGGAUGGGCAACAAAAGUAAUUGAUCCAGCAUCUAUUCUUCAAGAUACAAACAUACCUGGGUCUCCAAGAAGUGCAGUGAGCGACGAAGAUGGUUCCAUUGCUAGUCGUGGUUUUGACAGUAUGCCUGUUGAUAAUGAUUCUAAUCAAGGCGAUGCUUCAAGUUCAGGGAACUAUGGCCUUCGUUCUGCCUAUACUCGUGUUGCUUUCGUAGUUGAUGCUAAUAUAACAUCAUAUCUUAUGAUGGGUUCUGUUUCACCAGGCUUGAAAUCUCAUGCUGUUACACUCUAUGAAGCGGGGAAAUUGGGUCAUGCCAGCAUUUCUGAUCUUUGCAAGGAUCUUAGCACUCUGGAAGGUGCCAAAUUUGAGGGAGAACUGCAGGAAUUUGCAAAUCAUGCAUUUAGCCUGCGUUGUGUAUUAGAAUGUUUACAGUCUGGUGGAGUUGCUUCCAAUGCAAAAGUGGAUGAAGGUUCUGAUAAGAUACACAUGACUAUUGCAAGCAAUGAUGAGUCCAGUUCUCUAAUAGCUGAAAUCUCUUUGACUGACAAAUCAGGAGACCCUGGUAUUGCAGAAGCUGGAAUGAAUAAUUAUGAUUUAUUAAAUUCAGAUUUAGAGAAGUCUGUAGCUGCUUCUGCUUCCUCUGAGGCUGUUCAUAAUGAUAUUGUGGGUGGAACCUGUUCUAUUCCUUUGGAAGGUGAUGGUAGUAACAUACAGAAAUUUAAUGAAGACGGGAAUCUCCAGACUGAUGAGCAACUAAUGGUUGAAGGUUCAGAUGUUGGAACAGACAUGUUGAAGAGAAUAAAGAAAUAUCGUGUUGACAUUCUCCGCUGUGAAAGCUUGGCUUCUCUUGCACCAGCAACUCUUGAUCGUUUGUUUGUUCGCGAUUAUGAUAUAAUUGUGUCUAUAGUGCCUCUUCCUCAUUCAUCAGUUCUUCCUGGACCCACAGGUCUGGUACAUUUUGGUCCCCCCUCAUAUACUUUUAUGACUCCUUGGAUGAAAUUGGUAUUAUAUUCAACUGUAGCUAGUGGGCCUCUAUCAGUUGUUCUGAUGAAAGGACAGUGUCUGCGCUUGCUUCCUGCUCCAUUGGCUGGUUGUGAGAAAGCUCUCAUAUGGUCUUGGGAUGGUGCUGCAGUAGGAGGGUUGGGAGGGAAGCUUGAAGGAAAUUUAGUGAAGGGAAGUAUACUCUUGCAUUGUUUAAAUUCACUUCUUAAACAUUCAGCCGUGCUGGUGCAGCCUCUCAGUAGGUUUGACCUUGACGAAUCUGGAAAGGUGAUUACAAUGGAUAUCCCUUUGCCCUUAAAGAACUCUGAUGGAUCAAUUAUCUCUGUUGGAAAAGAAUUAGGAAUAUGUGAAGAGGAAAGUUCAAAGCUGAAUUCUCUCUUGACUGAUUUGGCAAACAAGAUGGAACUGUGGACAGUUGGGUAUAUUCGCCUACUGAAAUUAUAUAAUGGAAGGGAAUCAGAUCAGUUCUCACCUAAAGAAGAGAAAUAUGAAUGGGUUCCAUUGAGUGUUGAAUUUGGGAUGCCCCUGUUCAGUCCAAAGUUGUGUAAUAAUAUAUGUGAAAGGGUGAUUUCAUCUGAAUUACUUCAAUCUCAGUCAUUUGAAGAACACCAUCAUGCAAUGCAAAGCUUAAGGAAAAAUUUGCGUGACAUUUGUACUGAGUACCAAGCAUUAGGUCCUGCUGCAAAGGUUCUUUACCAAAAGGAGUCAGCUAAAGAAUCCCCACGAAAACUUAUGAAUUAUGCUAGUGGGAAGUGGAAUCCACUUAUAGAUCCUUCUUCUCCCAUUUCAGGGGCAUCAAGUGAGUAUCAAAGGUUAAAACUUGCUCAUCGACACCGCUGCGGAACUGAAGUUUUAAGCUUUGAUGGCAGCAUUCUUAGAUAAGUUUUCCAGUGACCUCAAACCUUUCAGAUCUAGUCUGGCAAUCCCUGGGAUCAUAACUGCUUACUCUUGAGUCUUGACACCAAACUUGAAGUUGUGCUGCUGUCAUCUUAUACAUGCACUACCAUGCAUCACCAGCUUCACACUUCUAAAAACUUGCAACCCUGCAUGAGAGAUCCCGAGCACUUUUGCUACUUAUCCUGGUCACUUCAAGGGUGUUUCAGAUCAUGGGUCCUGCAAUUUUGACAUGCAUUGCAUGUAUUAUCAACACAGACCUGCCCCCUCCUUUCAACAUGCUCCAAAUAUUUCUGUUAUUUUUGGCAACAAAUUUGGUGGUUUAAUCACACUAAUUCUCAGAAACAUCGCUUUUGGAUGGUCAUACAGAUCUUAUGUCUUAACUCCUGUUUACGAAGCUGAAGUCACUCAAGCCAACGCAAUUAAACCUGAACCAGAUGAAAUUGAUAGUAAAGAAGUAAUCCAUCCUGGAGUAAAUCUUCUUUUUGAUGGUUCUGAGUUGCACCCAUUUGAUAUAGGUGCCUGCCUGCAGGCACGUCAACCUAUUUCCUUAAUAGCAGAAGCAGCAGCUGCCUCAGCAUCGUUAACCAUCAAAUAGUUCUGCAGUUAAUACUGAUUACACCACUUUCAUGUGCAUGAAUUGAAAUGCUAGCGAGUCACGUGCCAAUGCUAUUGCUACUGUUUGGUUUGUUACCAUCCUCGAGAUUGUUGGUUGCACAAAGUUGGAUUCUGGUUGAAGGUAACUUUCAUCCUUUUGCUGGUCUGUAUUUUACAAGUUGUGACGUUGUUUCAGUUGUUAAAAGCUACUCCCAAUGCUGAACCUCUAAAGUAUUCUUUUUACUCUCAGCAGCUUUUAGGCUUACUGACUCUAAUUUUUAAUUUGAAACAAGGAUGUGGAUAAAAUGAUGCCCAAACAGAUUUGUGGAACUUGCAGAUAGAAUCUCUUUUAAUUUUCUCUGCGUUUUUU